ACGCCCCUCCCAUGAUCUGUCAGAUUCAAGAUGGCUGCUGGGGACUACAGUGGUAGGCCUCCCUCCUUACAUUUCUCCUGCCCAGGGCCUUUGGGAAAUGGCCAGCCCAGCAACAGUGGUUAUUCAAUGGCUACGUCCAACGGUGGGCCCACUGGUGCGACCGGAGGGGUUCAGGGGCCUGCAAGGCGCCCCAACCCGCAGUCGGGGCCUGGCGGAGGCGAAAGCGCCGGUGUUGCAGCUGGAACUCAACCGACUGUGCAGAACUCGAUUCAGCAAGCGUCAGCUCAAAGCGCUGCGGCAAGGGGGGCCUCCGGAGCAACGGCUGCGAGUGUACCAGGGACCCAUUCCUCACUGUCGUCAGCACCACCGGCCGCUGAUGUUUUAGUUUACCGGGAGCCCGUGUACAACUGGCAGGCGACGAAAAGCACCGUAAAGGAACGGUUUGCUUUCCUGUUCAAUAACGAGGUUCUGAGUGACGUUCAUUUUCUGGUGGGGAAAGGUAUGGGAGUGCAACGAAUACCCGCACACAGAUUCGUUCUCGCUGUGGGCAGCGCAGUCUUCGAUGCCAUGUUCAACGGGGGUAUGGCGACCACCUCAACGGAAAUCGAUUUGCCAGAUGUCGAACCUGCAGCCUUUCUGGCAUUACUGAAGUUCCUGUACUCUGAUGAGGUCCAAAUAGGGCCUGAGACGGUGAUGACCACUCUGUACACGGCUAAGAAAUAUGCAGUGCCAGCCUUGGAGGCCCACUGUGUGGAAUUCCUCAAGAAGAACCUGCGGGCAGACAAUGCCUUCAUGCUGCUCACUCAGGCUCGACUUUUUGAUGAGCCCCAGCUUGCCAGCUUGUGUCUAGAGAACAUCGACAAGAAUACCGGAGAUGCGCUCGCAGCUGAGGGUUUCACUGACAUAGAUCUGGAUACUUUAGUGGCUGUGCUGGAGCGGGACACUCUGGGGGUGAGGGAGGUGCGUUUAUUUGUUGCGGUGGUACGCUGGGCAGAGGCAGAGGCCCACCGGCAGCAGCUACAGCCCACCCCAGAGAACAAACGCAGGGUCCUGGCCAAGGCCCUCGCCCUCAUCCGCUUCCCACUCAUGACUAUCGAGGAGUUUGCCGCAGGACCGGCCCAGUCCAGUAUCCUGACAGACAGUGAGGUGGUGAGUCUGUUCCUUCACUUCACGGUGAACCCAAAGCCCCGCGUAGAGUUCAUCGACCGGCCUCGCUGCUGCUUACGGGGGAAGGAGUGCAGCAUCACACGCUUCGGACAGGUGGAGAGCCGUUGGGGCUACAGUGGGACCAGUGACCGUAUACGGUUUUCAGUGAACAGGAGGAUCUUCGUGGUGGGCUUUGGCCUCUACGGCUCCAUACACGGCCCCACAGACUACCAAGUCAACAUCCAGGCACUGCCCACCUUAACUAACCAAAUCAGUCAAUCAAUCAUAUUUGAUUUAUAUAGACAAUACAUUGGAACAAAGACUCCCUUCCCUUUCUGAUCAUUCACACAGAUAGUAACACAGUGCUGGGUCAGAACGACACAGGCUUCAGCUGUGAUGGCUCAUCCAACACCUUCAGAGUCAUGUUCAAGGAGCCGGUGGAGAUCCUACCCAACGUCAACUACACAGCCUGCGCCACACUCAAGGGUCCUGACUCUCACUAUGGGACCAAGGGAAUGCGUAAGGUGACUCACGAGUCGUCCUCCACUGGCACCAAGACAUGCUUCACCUUCUGCUACGCUGCGGGCAACAACAACGGCACCUCAGUAGAAGACGGACAGAUCCCCGAAGUCAUCUUCUACACCUAGUCCUCAUGACCUCAGAGGGCUCGGGGUCACUGGAUUGUGGAAGCCACACACCCAGUUCUGCCAGUGGUGGAGGCAUCAAUAAUUGGAGCAUGGUCUCUCUCAACUCCCACUGACCGUUGAGGGAUGUCAGCUUGUUUUAGACAACCGUUUUGUCUGCUGAGAGAACUGGCCUCUAUACUGGUCAGAACUAUUGACUCAACUUGGGAAAAGGAGAGCUUGACAUGUAUUUACAGAACCACCCCUUUAUGGUCUGUCUGUAGCUAAAAGCAUGUGGGAGUGAGAUGCAUCCAGCUACUCCAAUGUAUAUGAACAUACUGUUACACUACCAAUUAGGAUCCAUCUGCUUGAUCAGUAACACCUUUCCACUAGCCCAUUAGGGUGCAUGUGAUACUAACAAAAUGAGCAAGGGUGCAAAUAAUUAUGGAUCAGAUUAAACAGGAAUUACUGAAGCAUUACAGCUUCCGCCUGAGUAGAACAUGCAGACCCACGAAGAAGCUCAUUUAAAGGCAAUCACACAAGCUAAACUUUGAGGCAGACUGAAAACUACCAAGUUGUAGAACACCGCUGGUCUUGGAGGUAUAGAGAACUUUACAGAAAUAGUUACUGGCACAUUAUGCAAUCAUUACCUUCAGUUGAACCAAAAUUGUACCAUUUAUAUACUAACAAUCCUCUGGCUGUCCUCAUCAACCCAUAAUUACUCUUUACCAGUCUUAAUUUCAAACCAUUCAAAAGCCAAUAAAGACAUCCACGCCAUG